UGUGAUUGCAGUUCGUUUCAGCCUUUACAUACGUUUUUGUUGUUGUUGUUGUUUUUCACAGGGUGGCCAGGGUGUUCCUGGACUUCCUGGCCUGGAUGGUGAAAGGGGUCACAAAGGUUCAAAAGGGGACAUGGGAAUCCCGGGAAUAUCCGGAGAAAAAGGAUCAAUGGGUCUUCCUGGGUUACAGGGUGUGAAUGGUCUGAAAGGAGACAAAGGAGAUACUGGUUUGCCUGGCCCUCAGGGACCCUCGAUUAUUGGGGC